CAGUAGCCACGGGAAUACGAAGGGUGCAAGCGUUACUCGGAAUUACUGGGCGUAAAGCGUGCGUAGGUGGUUGUUUAAGUCUGCUGUGAAAGCCCUGGGCUCAACCUGGGAAUUGCAGUGGAUACUGGGCAACUAGAGUAAGGUAGAGGAUAGUGGAAUUUCCGGUGUAGCAGUGAAAUGCGUAGAGAUCGGAAGGAACAUCUGUGGCGAAGGCGACUAUCUGGGCCAUUACUGACACUGAGGCACGAAAGCGUGGGGAGCAAACAGGAUUAGAUACCCGCGUAGUCCCUGUCUCUUAUAA
rnacentral:rRNA from 1 species